rnacentral:rRNA from 1 species
AACGUAGGUGGCAAGCGUUAAUCGGAAUUACUGGGCGUAAAGCGUGCGCAGGCGGUUCGUUGUGUCGGUGGUGAAAUCCCCGGGCUUAACCUGGGAAUGGCCAUGGAAACUGGCGAACUGGAGUGUGGCAGAGGGGGGUGGAAUUCCGCGUGUAGCAGUGAAAUGCGUAGAGAUGCGGAGGAACACCGAUGGCGAAGGCAGCCCCCUGGGCUAACACUGACGCUCAGGCACGAAAGCGUGGGGAGCAAACAGG